UUGAAUUUCGGGAUCGAAUUGUUGGUCGUGCUUCGGUACGUACUGGCAUUUAUGGUUUCCCUACCUUUCUGAAGAACCGCGAUGUCAUUAAUUUGGUGUCGUGGGGGAAUCAGGACUGUUACUUUUGAAAAAUUAGAGUGUUUAAAGCAGGCUUACCGCUUGAAUACAUUAGCAUGGAAUAAUGAAAUAGGACGUUUAGAUUCUAUUUUGUUGGUUUCUAGGAUCGACGUAAUGAUUAAUAGGGAUAGUUGGGGGCAUUAGUAUUCAAUUGUCAGAGGUGAAAUUCUUGGAUUUAUUGAAGACUAACUACUGCGAAAGCAUUUGCCAAGGAUGUUUUCAUUAAUCAAGAACGAAAGUUAGGGGAUCGAAGACGAUCAGAUACCGUCGUAGUCUUAACCAUAAACUAUGCCGACUAGGGAUCGGAUGAUGUUAAUUUUUAAUGACUC
rnacentral:rRNA from 1 species